UACGAAGGGUGCAAGCGUUAGUCGGAAUUACUGGGCGUAAAGCGUGCGUAGGCGGUCUCUUAAGUCCGUUGUGAAAGCCCUGGGCUCAACCUGGGAACUGCAGUGGAUACUGAGAAGCUAGAGUGUGUCAGAGGAUGGUGGAAUUCCCGGUGUAGCGGUGAAAUGCGUAGAGAUCGGGAGGAACAUCAGUGGCGAAGGCGGCCAUCUGGGACAACACUGACGCUGAGGCGCGAAAGCUAGGGUAGCAAACGGG
rnacentral:rRNA from 1 species